CAGGCUUAACACAUGCAAGUCGAGGGGCAGCAUGGUCUUAGCUUGCUAAGGCCGAUGGCGACCGGCGCACGGGUGAGUAACACGUAUCCAACCUGCCGUCUACUCUUGGACAGCCUUCUGAAAGGAAGAUUAAUACAAGAUGGCAUCAUGAGUCCGCAUGUUCACAUGAUUAAAGGUAUUCCGGUAGACGAUGGGGAUGCGUUCCAUUAGAUAGUAGGCGGGGUAACGGCCCACCUAGUCUUCGAUGGAUAGGGGUUCUGAGAGGAAGGUCCCCCACAUUGGAACUGAGACACGGUCCAAACUCCUACGGGAGGCAGCAGUGAGGAGUAUUGGUCAAUGGGCGAGAGCCUGAACCAGCCAAGUAGCGUGAAGGAUGACUGCCCUAUGGGUUGUAAACUUCUUUUAUAAAGGAAUAAAGUCGGGUAUGGAUACCCGUUUGCAUGUACUUUAUGAAUAAGGAUCGGCUAACUCCGUGCCAGCAGCCGCGGUAAUACGGAGGAUCCGAGCGUUAUCCGGAUUUAUUGGGUUUAAAGGGAGCGUAGAUGGAUGUUUAAGUCAGUUGUGAAAGUUUGCGGCUCAACCGUAAAAUUGCAGUUGAUACUGGAUAUCUUGAGUGCAGUUGAGGCAGGCGGAAUUCGUGGUGUAGCGGUGAAAUGCUUAGAUAUCACGAAGAACUCCGAUUGCGAAGGCAGCCUGCUAAGCUGCAACUGACAUUGAGGCUCGAAAGUGUGGGUAUCAAACAGGAUUAGAUACCCUGGUAGUCCACACGGUAAACGAUGAAUACUCGCUGUUUGCGAUAUACUGCAAGCGGCCAAGCGAAAGCGUUAAGUAUUCCACCUGGGGAGUACGCCGGCAACGGUGAAACUCAAAGGAAUUGACGGGGGCCCGCACAAGCGGAGGAACAUGUGGUUUAAUUCGAUGAUACGCGAGGAACCUUACCCGGGCUUAAAUUGCAGAUGAAUUACGGUGAAAGCCGUAAGCCGCAAGGCAUCUGUGAAGGUGCUGCAUGGUUGUCGUCAGCUCGUGCCGUGAGGUGUCGGCUUAAGUGCCAUAACGAGCGCAGCCCUUGUUGUCAGUUACUAACAGGUUCCGCUGAGGACUCUGACAAGACUGCCAUCGUAAGAUGUGAGGAAGGUGGGGAUGACGUCAAAUCAGCACGGCCCUUACGUCCGGGGCUACACACGUGUUACAAUGGGGGGUACAGAGGGCCGCUACCACGCGAGUGGAUGCCAAUCCCCAAAACCUCUCUCAGUUCGGACUGGAGUCUGCAACCCGACUCCACGAAGCUGGAUUCGCUAGUAAUCGCGCAUCAGCCACGGCGCGGUGAAUACGUUCCCGGGCCUUGUACACACCGCCCGUCAAGCCAUGGGAGCCGGGGGUACCUGAAGUGCGUAACCGCGAGGAGCGCCCUAGGGUAAAACUGGUGACUGGGGCUAAGUCAUAAC
rnacentral:rRNA from 1 species